rnacentral:tRNA from 1 species
GCCUGGGUGGCUCAGUUGGUUGAGCGGCCGACUUCGACUCAGGUCAUGAUCUCCCGGUUCAGGGGUUCAAACCCUUUGUCGGGCU